AACGUAGGACACGAGCGUUAUCCGGAGUUACUGGGCGUAAAGGGCGUGCAGGCGGCAUGGUAAGUCUGAUGUGAAAGCUCCCGGCUCAACCGGGAGAGGACAUUGGAGACUGCCAAGCUCGAGGCAGAUAGAGGGAUGUAGAAUUCCGGGUGUAGUGGUGGAAUGCGUAGAUAUCCGGAGGAACACCAGUGGCGAAAGCGGCUCUCUGGGGGCAACCUGACGCUGAGGCGCGAAAGCGUGGGGAGCGAACCGG
rnacentral:rRNA from 1 species